AGUGAACGCUGGCGGCAGGCCUAACACAUGCAAGUCGAGCGGCAGCGCGGUGGCAACCCUGGCGUCCAGCGGCGGACGGGUGAGGAAUUGGUCGGAACCUGCCUUUUUGUGUGUGAUAACGGAAGAAAACUUACGCUAAUACCCCAUACCUCCUACGGGAGAAAGGGGGGAAGCGCAAGGUCUUACGCCGAAAGAUGAUCCGACGACCGAUUAGCUAGUUGGUGGGGUAAAGGCCCACCAAGGCGACGAUCGGUAGCUGGUCUGAGAGGAUGAUCAGCCACACUGGGACUGAGACACGGCCCAGACUCCUACGGGAGGCAGCAGUGGGGAAUAUUGGACAAUGGGCGCAAGCCUGAUCCAGCCAUGCCGCGUGUGUGAAGAAGGCCUUCGGGUUGUAAAGCCCUUUUGUCCGGAAAGAAAUCCCUGGAGCUAAUACCUCCGGGGGCUGACGGUACCGGAAGAAUAAGCACCGGCUAACUUCGUG
rnacentral:rRNA from 1 species